ACGGAAGGCAGCAGUGGGGAAUCUUGCCCAAUGGGCGAAAGCCUGAGGCAGCGACGCCGCGUGCGGGAAGAAGGCCUUCGGGUUGUAAACCGCUUUCAGGAGGGACGAAGCCACUCGGGUUAAUAGCCCAGAGGGUGACGGUACCUCCAGAAGAAGCCCCGGCUAACUACGUGCCAGCAGCCGCGGUAAUACGUAGGGGGCUAGCGUUGUCCGGAUUUAUUGGGCGUAAAGAGCGUGUAGGCGGCCAGGUAGGUCCGCUGUGAAAACUCGAGGCUCAACCUCGAGAGGUCGGUGGAAACCAUCUGGCUAGAGUCCGGAAGAGGAGAGUGGAAUUCCCGGUGUAGCGGUGAAAUGCGCAGAUAUCGGGAAGAAUAUCCGUGGCGAAGGCGGCUCUCUGGGACGGUACUGACGCUGAGACGCGAAAGCGUGGGGAGCGAACAGGAUUAGAUACCCUGGUA
rnacentral:rRNA from 1 species